UACGUAGGGUGCAAGCGUUGUCCGGAAUUAUUGGGCGUAAAGAGCUCGUAGGCGGUCUGUCGCGUCGAAUGUGAAAACCCGGGGCUCAACCCCGGGCCUGCAUUCGAUACGGGCAGACUAGAGUUCGGUAGGGGAGUCUGGAAUUCCUGGUGUAGCGGUGAAAUGCGCAGAUAUCAGGAGGAACACCGGUGGCGAAGGCGGCAUCCUGGACCAUAACUGACGCUGAGGCGCGAAAGCUAGGGGAGCAAACGGG
rnacentral:rRNA from 1 species